GACGAACGCUGGCGGCGUGCUUAACACAUGCAAGUCGAACGGAAACGUCCUGCUUUUUUGGGGUGCGCGGGUGGCGAACGGGUAAGUAACCCGUGAGUACCCUGUCCUUGACUUUGGGAUAACUUAAGAAAAGUUGAUCUCAUACCGGAUAGGAGCUACUGCUGUAUGGUGGGGGCUGGAUAGUUUCGGCGGUUGGGGAUGUACUAGCGUCUUAUCAGCUUGUUGGUGAGGUAGUGGCAGACCAAGGUCUUGACCGGUAGCCGGCCUGAGAGGGUCACCGGCCACAUUGGGACUGGGAUACGGCCCGGACUCCUACGGGAGGCAGCGGUGGAGAAUAUUGCACAGGGGGCGGAAGCCUGGUGCAGCAACGCCGCGUGCGGGAUGACGGCAUGCGGGUAGUGAACCGCUUUCGCCUGUGACGAAGCGUUAGUGACGGUAAUGGGUGAAGAAGCACCGGCUAACUACGUG
rnacentral:rRNA from 1 species